rnacentral:rRNA from 1 species
CCUACGGGAGGCAGCAGUGGGGAAUAUUGGUCAAUGGCCGGAAGGCUGAUCCAGCCACGUCGCGUGAAGGAUGAAGGAUCUAUGGUUUGUAAACUUCUUUUAUAUGGGAGUAAAUUGCGGUACGUGUUCAUUUUUGUAUGUCCCAUAUGAAUCAGGAUCGGCUAACUACGGGCCAGCAGCCGCGGUAAUACGGAGGAUGCGAGCGUUAUCCGGAUUUAUUGGGUUUACAGGGUGCGUAGGUGGGUAAUUAAGUCAGGUGUGAAAGUUUGGGGCCCAACCCACAAAAUGGCUGUGAUAAUGGGUGACUGGAGGAUAGGUGGGGUAGGCGGAAUGCCUGGUGUAGCGGUGAAAUGCGUA